CGAGAAGACUGUAGUGAGCAGAUGAUGGUUCGUUCAUCACUGUUUUGGCCCUCUUUGUCUUUUUGCUAAGUCACUUCAGUCGUGUCCGACUCUGUGCGACCCCACAGAUGGCAGCCCACCAGGCUCCCCCGUCCCUGGGAUUCUCCAGGCAAGAACACUGGAGUGGGUUGCCAUUUCCUUCUCCAAUGCAUGAAAGUGAAAAGUGAAAGUGAAAUCACUCAGUCAUGUCCGACUGUUAGUGACCCCAUGGACUGUAGCCUACCGGACUCCUCCAUCCAUAGGAUUUUCCAGGCAAGAGUAUGGGAGUGGGUUGCCAUUGCCUUCUCCCCUUUGUCUUUUUAGCAGCCUUUAAAUUCACUCUCGAGGUCAUUUCAGUUCAAAUAAAUUGCCAGUCUUGUUGAUAAGACCCAGGAACUGUGGGAAACCAGGCUGAGACAAAUGGGAAACAAUUGUGAAAACCUGAGCACACUUAUACGCCAGGACCCAUUUCAGAAGAAACUGCAGCCUGUAUACCGUUCAUGGAACACCGCUGGAGAGGCUGUGGAACCCACAGCAAGGCUUCCCUCUCCCACCGGGACUUCGCUCCAGGAUCAUCUGAAGCAAUGACAUUCUGUUGAGUCGGGGGAGGAUCCCUGGACAAGGGUUCAAAGAGGAAUGGCUUUCUCCCCACCAACCCCCCGAACUGCCACAGUGCAGUUUUGCUUAAGGAAAGGAAAGCUGGUACAUGGAGAACGGCUGUUGCGAGACUCGUGUGCCCCGCACAGCAGAAGGGUGGGCUGUAUAGAUCUGCAG
ensembl:lncRNA